CUGUUUAGCUUGACGUCUGAUAUAUAUAUAGCUACGCCCUGAUGUGUGUGUGUGUGUGGGGGGGUGCGUCGACGUGGUCCGGACAUAGAAGGGGGUGCGCGGCUAAAUAAGUUUGGGAACCACUGAUCUAGAGGAUGACGGGAAACACCUGGCUCUCACAUGAUCUAAGAUCUGAUUGGUUCAUAUUCUGAUCCAAACAUCCGGUGGUAGAACAUGAAAUGUUAGUUGGUCACAUGUAUUCUGUAAAUCACGUUAUGUUGAUGACAACAAUAUAGGCCAUAAAGAGAAGUGUGUUUUGUUUUCUUUUGUCACGUUUCCUUACCACACUGAAGCUACAGCUGAUAACCUUUACUUAUUAUUACAGUCAUGUUUUCAUAUAGAAUAUAUGAUAUCCACAAGCACGUGAGGAUGUGUUUCAGCUGCUAACAGGCACCAGAAUUAAAAUUGAAAAUUGAACAAGUGUGAAUGCUAACGCGAUAUCUUCAGCCAUCGUCACCCCCGAGCUACACAUGCAGGGAAAUCCAAGAGAUUCAACUGGCAGAAACAACUGGUUCACACCAUUCUCUCACACACACACACACACACACACACACACACACACACACACGCCUUUUAGAAUCUUAUGCAACCAUCAAUUUGCUAAACUUAUAUAAUUGUAAAAACAAUCCUACAUUUUAAAGAGCAAGUCACCCAUGGCCACAUUCUUAUUCAACUCCCACUUCCUGUUUGAAAAAUGCAACAAAUGCUGUUGUCUAGCAGACCGAGAGGGUGGAGCCACAAACAAAUACACACACUCACAACAUUGUGACAUCAAAAUGUACCAUCUAACAUCACUGUGUACCUCUUAGCCAAUAGCUAUGACAGAUUUAAAUUCAAAUGCAGUGCAGAGUUUUUAUCUGACAACCGCACAACACUGACAGUUUUAGGCAGAAAAUUAAAAUCUUAUCUAAAAUGCACUAAAGUGCAAAACUAUUGCCUACGCAUUUCUGUAGCACAAUUAGACACACAUUUAUAUAGUUUAUCAGAAAAAAAAAGUUGAUUUGGGAGCAACUUGCUCUUUAAAUGAGUUAAUCACAGUAUAAUCUAAUUUAAAGGGCAAUAAUCAAUAACUUGUGUGUGACAUCUAUGACAAAAUACAUUAACAUAAUUAUUACUAUAAUUAUUACUACUUUACUGAUAACCCCUGAACAAGGAAUCAUAAUAUAAAAAUGAAAAUAUCUAAUCAAACACCAAGAAUGAAGUUUUAAAUCAUGCCAAAUUUCAAACUAUUGUUUAAAAAUAUCAAAAGUUAUUAAAUGUCAAGUUUUAUUAGUACUUACUUGCACUUAUGAAAGUGCACAUACACCUGCUGUAUUCUAUAUAGAGUGCUUAGACUAAUUCAAAUAGUCGACAACACAUGUACUAAAAAACAUUUAUUUAUAACUGCAUUGUAGGAAAUAUUCAGUCACAACAUAUUCUUUAAUUUAGUCUUAAACAAUGCUACUUAAAUAGUUUAAACACCCCCUUGUUAUCAGUCAAACUUUUGAAUAGUCUAUGGUAUUUACAUUAUUUUACUUAAUCUCAGUUUAGCUUUAAGUACUGUAACUUUUAAUAACGUUUUACUUAUUUCUACGUUAAACUUCGCAUGACUAAAAAUAAACUCACAAUAUUACAUUAUUAUUUUUUCCCUGUGUCCUGUCUGGCUGUGAAGCAAACAGAAUUGAUGUCUGAAUGUUGGUGAAAAGCCUUACAGAUUUACUCUCAGGUGGAGCAUCAAAGCUAAUGUCACGUCUGAUACUUUAAACUUUAUUGUUUUUGAAUACUUUGUAACUCCGACCAGACAACGGAAUCAGAGGUGAAAGAUAAAGACAAAGACAAAAGGUGGGGGGAGAUAGGGGGGAGGGGUCCAACAAAAAUAAACAAUAAUGAACAAGAGUCUGCUUCUAGGCCUGCAGAAAGAGAAAGAAGAGAAAAAAUGGGACACACAACACAACAGGAGCAAGCCAUCACUGUGUCAACUUGAAGAAAUACAAUCACACGAUAAUAAUAAAUCAUAGUGCAUUUAGUGGCAACAACAGCCUUAAGACAUGUGUUGAACGUGCCCAAGUCCAUACUUAUGAGAGCACCAUGUGAGCACCUGUGUGUGUACAAGCGCUUGUUUAUGUAAGGUUUCUCUAUAAGAGCGUCUAAUAGAGUGUGGGGGGCCACAGAUCUGCCCCAAAGAUGUGUAGGAGACUAAGAGAGCUCCAAGUCCCAGAGAUCCAGCCGCUGCCCCAGAACACAAAACCGUCAGACAGCAGCUGGUACUGGUCGCUCGUGUACGUCAAAGCUAUCUUUCAUAAAACGAUAAUCAAUAAAACGAUUUAUAUAAAGUGGAUCCAGAAGUUGUAGCCCGUCUCUGCCUACAAUAUUUUGAUAUUUUUCACUCUGUUGGUGGUUUUACUGAGCAGGUGCCACUUUUGUCAUACGUUACUUUUUAAAACAUGUUUAGACUGUUCAGAAUACAAAUCCAGGCUCUGUCACGUUUGAUUGUUGUAAUAAAACUUUGUAGGUGGGGAAGGUCAGAAAAGGAUCCGAUCAUUUUGUUUUUCCCUUAUUUACAGUGACAGAGAUAACGGCGCAGUGUGCCUGCCUCUGGUGUUAAUCAAGUUUAAUUUUAUCUAUUUUCACAAGAAAACAGAACAGUUAAAAGCAGGGCUUGUGUUGACCGGACAGUUCCCGUAUUUGGCCGUUUAUUUUGACGGAGAAAGAAAGAAUUACUCCGACGCACGCAGACAAACUGACACUUUAUUCGUUUAGCAAAUCGCAGAUGUUGCUAAAUCACUCAAGAAAAGAUUCCCUUCUGAACAUCUGAGCUGGACAUCGCUCAGUGCAGCUCACUGUCAGCAUGUACAUAAGGUGCACAGCAAGCUGAAGAUGUGGAGAGGGGCUUGGAGAAUGUUGCAGAACCAUGCAGGAAGAUUCCUUCCACUGAAGCGAGAGUUUUCCAAACCCGGUCUCUCAGGGAGACUUGUCACUUAGAAAAUGUUCCCUGAUGAUGAAACUUUGGCUGAAUUGUGCUUGUUCCCAGUGGCAGUUCUACAUGGAAUUACUCCCCGGGCGAGUCCCCCUUUGAGCCCCCCCCCCACCACCACCACCACCACACUACCCCACCUGCACAAACACAUGCAUGUUUUCUGCAAACAGGCAUGUUUUAUUAGAACGACUAUUGAACAUUCAUUUUUCUAAGUUGCACAUAUUUACAUUAAUUACUAUGAAGUUGUCAGAAUGUAAAGCAAUAUACAUUAUAUACUGUAUCAAAAUAUAUAGAAUCAAAAAUACAAAAACAACUAAACUAACUAAAUAUUAACAAUAUAUGAACAUAAUAUAUAAUAAAUAUUCUAAAUAGUAGGGCUGCACAAUGUAUCGAAAAAUUAUCGUCAUCGCAAUAACAGGACGUGCGAUAGGCCUACCGCAAAGGACGUCAAAAACGGCGAUAAAUGUUUGGUUCAAACAUUUCCAUCCGUGUCAUACAUCAACUUUUUGUAAACCAGCUCUGUUUUUUAAGCGGAAGUAUUAUUUGACCAAUCAAAUGUAGCCCUUCUGAUAUGCAGCCAAUCAGACAGGUCCAUUCACGUAAUACGCCCGCCCCCUACAUAGACCCUUACCCCAAAAUUCCACUAUCUCUGCUCUGCUCCGCCCCCCGCUUUCCGCUGACGCUCGCUUCCCUUGUUCGUCAUGCUGGCUCAGAUUAACAAACUCACUUUGUGCUGAGGUUUCUGGAAUCAGCGCUGCUUUCAAACGUGAACGUGAGUCCGCUCGGUGUCGUUAAGCAGCUGAUAAUAACCGGGUUGACUCCGACACGUGCCUGUGAACCAACCCACCGUUAGCCCCAGGCUCCGGUUAGCUUCCAGCUAAAAGGCUACAGCACUCUCCUCCCAGUCCCACCCUGCUAAAGAGGGCCUGGAAAAGUUCCCCCACACAUCAAAGUGAUUUUUCAUUUAUGAGCUUUUAUAACCUUGUUAAUCAGGAUAGUUGAUUUGCUGCUGCACAUAAACUGUCAGUCAGAAGCUCUGCUAGCCGCUUAUCUUAGAGGAGCUAGUUCAAUUUGUUAGCUUGUUAUCAGAAUCAUAGUUGCAGUUUCAUCAUCUGAGCUGCUUUUUGAGAUCUAGGUAAACUUGUUCAAUUUGGGGUUAAAAACAAAGUUUUCAAAUAUUUUCCAUGUAGUUUUUCGCCAGUUCCUCUUCUGAAAGGUAGACAAUUGUUUUUCUCUUUCCCUCAGAAAAUCUUAAUAUUCUCCUAGUUUGGCCCAGCACAGUUCACUUCCCAAUUACAGUAACAGCCUUAUAUCAUAACCACAUAAGUGGAGAAAAUGCUCAGUAGCUAUGAGAGAAUUUGCUGUUGCAUUUAAGUGAUGUUGGCUAUUAUUUAACAGUUAAACUUAUUUUCUGUUUUUUUUUUUUUUUUAAUUAUUCAAAAACCCUGGUAAGGAUGUGUUUCUGUAUUUGGAGCUUCAGAAAAAGUUUUAUGGUGGAGGAGAUGUUUUAAAGUCACUGAGAAACUGCAUGCAUGCAGUUUGUUGUUUUGCUGAUAAUACAGUAGCAGGUGCAGCUGCAUAUUUUUUCAAUAAAAAUGGUAUGCUGUAAUGGAAUUCAUGCAUUAGUUUUUGUUUGCUUUGAACCCAGAGCAAACGUCACACGCCAGGCGACAUCAACACUGCAUACUUUAGUAUUUGUUCAUUUAGCGUGAGUAAUAUCGGUAUCGCAAAAUUAAGCACUGUUAUCGAAUAUCGCAGGUUUUCCUAAUAUCGUGCAGUCCUACUAAAUAGCAAAAAUAUUUCACACAUAACAAACUAAAGAUAAUCACUACAGCAUUGCACUUAGAACAGAAAACACAAACUAAAAUUAAAACCUAACCUUCAUGCAAAGUCAUCAAUAAUGUCAUCAUAUGAAAUCUGCUCCCCUACUGAGUGAUUGAUACUAAUCAGAGCCAGGUUAGUCAGCCGCCCCUGAAACAUAGGUGACCUCAGGUAUGACUUGAUCAAGUUUUGAAAAGCCCCUCUCAGCUUGAGCCACAGUGACUGGCAGAGCAGUCCAAAAGUUGGGUUAGAUCUCCAAUAGAUCCUUAUCAUGAUCCAUAAUAUUUUAGAAUGACCUCUGAAAUUGUAAUUUAAACUGGCAUAAAAAUAUUUUGCGAUACCGAUAUGACUUCUCUGAGCUCUGCAGCCAUUACACUUUUCACCUCGCGCACCCCCUAGCGGCAGCUCGCGCACGCACCACACUUUGGGAAUCCCUGAUCUACACGACUGAAGGAAGAAAUGACGUAGCAGCUGACCGCCAUCUUAGAUGGGUUCCCACUCACAUCGUUGAAGUUAAAAAACCCACCCAAAAUGACGGAAACAGAGCCAUGUUUAAUGGGAAGCCAUUCAACACAUUGCAUUCGUUAGACGGACAAGUUCCCUUGCAUUUGAAGACUGAAACACCCACUCAAAAUGGCGGAUGGGCCAUUGCUUCUCAAACGCACAUGUAGCAUUUACGUCUUUAUUGCUAUGCAGAAAAAUGUUCAAGUAUUGACUAUUAAAUAAAACGUGACAAAAAUGACCCACAAAACGAAUAUGUCUACGACUUUGUAACAUACUUCAGCAAUCAAUAUUGAAACCGUUACAUUCUUCUGCGUCAGUGCGGAGACACACGGAGCACUUACGCACUCAAUCGACAUAAAUCACAACCGCUCAACAGGAAAAGGAGCAAGCACACCUUCCGUUAUUUCACAAUAAAUCGAUAACAAAAAGCGUUAUUUUUUUGUUUCAUAUGCACAGGUUUAACAACUUUUAACAACUAUCAAUGGCGGUUGAACUUUAAAUGCACAAAAAUAAGCCAUAAACACAGUUUCCACUAUCAAAGUAGUCACACUUUGUGGAUCCAAACACUGCUGAUCUCUCAACAAAAAAGAUAGGCAGCUUAGCGCACUGUGCAAACACUUUCACUCUCUGUGUAACUGAAUCCACACCAUCCAACCAGUUAGCUUUACUCGGUUCCAAAUUAAAUCACAGGAAUAAUAAAACUGCUUGCUUAAAGAUCUGCACAAGAAAUUAUUUAUCAAAGCAUUCCUUACUCACCAUGACAAGAAGUUAUUUAUCAAAGCAUUCAUUACUCACCAUGACAAGAAGUUAUUUAUCAAAGCAUUCAUUACUCACCAUGACAAGAAGUGAACAAGAUGAAAACAACUAAAAAUGCUUAAAAAUAAACAAACAUACUAAAACAAAUGAACAAGAAACGCAACAGGUAAAGAUCCAAACAAACGUACGUGUGCACUCAGAGAAGUCUUACUAAAAAAGACGUUAGAUGCAGUUCAAAUGACACAUAUAUAGCCAAACUGUGAGCCAAUCGGCGGGAUGGAAAACAUCACGUGGAAAAAAACUCCCAAUUAGAUUGAAGUUUAUUCAAAACACAAUGUACUAUCGUCCAAUCAGUAAGCCAGACUCGGAAAUUUCAAAAUAAACCAAUCAGUUUCUUGAACGACAGACCAUGUUACAUCCAUGUAUGGUUUCGGUUUUACAUGAGACCGCCCCCUCACGAAGCCGAAGAAACGUGGACUCAGCUUUGAUGAUGAUGGGCUAUAGAGCUACCGCCAAAGGCUUUCGUUAGUGCUCGGUAGAACUCGGAGAUUCUCGACUCCAGCACGUUUUUGGCCUUCACUCGUCACGGUCAUCACGCAGACGUAACAAACAUGGACGCCAGUGCGCCUACUACCAGCAGCAGCAUGGAUACCGGAUCUCAGCAGCCAAUGAAUUCAGUUCGGUCUCUUCUCCAAUAUCCGUUCAAGAGGAAAACUAUGGUGGAAAAACUUAAUAUCAAAGAGCUUGGACCAGAUCAGCCCGACGUAAAGAUAAGCCAGCAGGAGGAGGAGAGAGGUAAACUGUACACACGAGGCUUCGGGAAGGCUUGGCUAGCUGGAUGCAAUCACGCUAAUGCGUUAUUUUGCUUUCCAAACGACUGUGACAGAUGAGGCAUGGAUUGAGUCAGGAGUUACGGACAUGAAACAUUUUUCUGAGAAGGUGAAGAAACAUGAGUUAUCCCGGUCACACAUGGACAACACGGUGAAGCUAGCUAUGCUAGGCAGAGCUAACAUAGCCAUGCAGCUAAAGACGAGGGACGCAGGCUUGCAGUGAAUAAACACAAUGAAGAAGUGGAUCAGAACGGCACAUUUUGUCCAAGAGAGAGUUGUCAACACAGUGUAUGAGCACAAGGAUGACCUCCUCAGAUGUUUCCAGAUGAUCAGAGACUCGGAUGACUUUGAUCCAGUCACUGAGAGAGAGGCAGGAGGCUUUGUGACAAUGCUGGAAGAAGAUUUCGGCUUUCUGCUGGCACUGUGUCACAAGAUCAUGCCACAUGUGGACAUGCUGUUCAACCAGCUGCAGAAGAGGAACAUUGACUCUGUCUCCAUCACAGAGGUCAUCCAGAGCUUCACCAACAGUAUGCAAAAGAUCAGGUACAUACUUGUUUAUUUAAUAUUAUUCUGAUUAAAUUCUCCAGUUUGUUAGUUUCACAAACAGUAAUGUGGAUGUGGACCAUAUAUGGUCAUGUUAUUUUAUGUGCAAUUUAAUGCAGUAUUUUUCAACCUUGGUCCGCAAGGCAGUGUGCCAAUAGUCAGACAUACGUGGAUUAAUCCCUUUGUCCAAUAAUGUAAGACAGGAAAUAAAAGAGCUGUGCUUAAUUCAAGAAAUAGUGAAGUUGUGCACAAAACUCAAAAAAACACAAGUUUGUUUAAAAGAAAAAAUAGCACAGCCCCAACAAAAAUAUUUUUCACCAGCCGCCACUGCUGGCAAGUGACACCUUUUUUCAAGCGUAUCUGUUGGAUGGCCUGGCCAGGUAGAACGAAGACCAUGCCAGCAGAAGGGAGAUCAGAGCCUCACCCCUAAAGCGGCCUCCUGAGGCAUGCUGCAAACCAGCUGUCACAGGAAGUUCUCGGGAAGAGCUGUGUGAAUUACACAGGGCCACAGGCGUACACAGGUGUGUUACCUGAGCUGAUGCACGAGUCAGAGGAGACGAAGUUCAGCUUUGACCAAGCUCUGAUUAGAUUAAUAUUUCAUGCUAGCUAAUUAAAAGUCAACAAUGUGUUUGUUUGCUGAAAUUGUGUCGUGACAGUGACUUACAGUUAAACAAACGUUAAUUAAAGUUAAAGUUAAUUUUUGAUUCAUUGCUUUCAGGGAAACACAUUGGGGUCAAGUAUAUCUACGACCAAACAGGAGAUGUUCUUGAGGACCGCAGAGUGGCAAAUGCAGCAUUGGGGACAGAGGACGUAGCUGUGGCAGAAGAUGAGGGCUUUGAAGAGUCUGAGGAUUUUGUGGAUCUGACAGUUCCCAUUUUGGAAACCAUGCUCCAGACUCCUCAACCUGCCUGUUCAUAUGACUUCUUGACAUCACCUGCAUCUGAACCCUUCCUAGAGAUAGCAUCUGUAGAAGUUAAACAUGCUCCUGUGGAUGCAAUGAAAGAAACUGCAUCUCCAUCAAGGCUGCCUGAUUUCCACUCUGAUGACACCUGCUCCAGGGACAUCAAGGAGACAGGUUCUAUUCUGGAGCACGCAUUCCUGGACAGUAGCCGGAUUGCAACCAGAUUGUUGAAGCCCUUUUUGUCCAGCUCUGCAUGGCUUACCCAAACCCAAAGACAGUGGAAGGUGUGACAUUUUCAAGGUGGACCCUCAUCAUUCGUACUUACAAGCACAUUAGAGAGUGCAUCCUGAACAACAUCACAAUCAUGGAGGAGACUACCAUACAGUUGCCAGAAGUCAACAAAACAACCCUCACACAGUGCAGGAGGAAUCACGCCCCUCCCAGAGACACCCUCUGUCGUGGCUGGAUGAUGAUGCAGAGAUAAUGGCUGCUUGUAAAUCUGUGGAAGACUCCCUCAUCUCAAAGCAACCAACAAUAGGAGCUGCAGCGACCAGGACGUUGCCAAAGGCUCCUGCUCUACAGCGGCUGAUGGUUCUCCUGCUCCUGCUGAUCCCUCUGCUUCUGCAUCCCCUGCCAGUCCGAUAGCUGCUUCUUCUGGCUCCAAUACUCCUCCUGGCCCCUCUGCUGGCUUUUCUGCUGCUGUCCUGGACAAGGUUUUAAGGAACAGGACGGACCUUGGGAUGCCAGUCUCUCGGCCUGCUGCUACUCAGCCACAGCUUCAGCCCCACACACACACACACACACACACACACACACACACACACACACACACACACACACACACAUACAACGUCAUGUGAACAGCAAAAUGAUCUUCUGUAAAAGAGUUAGAAAUUGAUUGCUGCGCCUUUGUCACACAUGUUGCAUGUACCUCCACACCUGUGAUAAGGGAUACUCUGACUAUGCCCUAGUGGUGAGACGUGUAAUAUAAUGGUGGCCUCAGAGGGGAUGCUGAAUCAGGGUGAGGUGCAGACGAGGUGACCGUUGGCGGUUUCUGGUGUCGAGGCGGUCGACAUUUCUGUUCCACAGACAUGCCCUGGGCUACCAGCCAGGAAGGAGCGGCGCGGAGCUGGGUUUGGAGAGCGUCGGGGAUGGAGUGGAGGGGGUGCGGACGGAGGGCGAGCAGCUUCGCUGCGAGGGCCGAACGACGCUGCUUGCAG